CAAAAAUCGAUGAUGCCAAUUUUAAGCGACCGGUGGUAGAUUUCGGCUGAUUACGGUUUGAGUUCUAAAUGCUAUUGUCAUUACAAGGUCAUUAGACUAAAUAUUUGUGUAGAUAUAUAAUUUUAAUUAUAAUACAUUAAUUAUACUAGGAUUAUACCUUUGAAAUUAUUAUUAGUUUUCUAAUUAAAUUAUAUUAAAAUUACGAUUAAAAUAUAUUAGGGAAAUUACUAAGACAAUCCGGCAUCGCUACGGAUUAAUUUUUACUACGAAUUGUCGGAAUCUGUAGAAAUUACGCUGACAUUUGACGUAUUCAUUCAGCUUUUGUCCAACGGAGCAUUGUUGCGAGUUUUCUGCGACCGUUGGAAGUGUUUGUGGAUUUCGGACAACUUUCGAAUAAUUAUUAGUGUUUAUUGCAAAUUAAACUAUUUAAAGUAGUUUUUUAACUAUCUACAAUGGUUCACCAGUGCAUAGUUUGUUAAAGGUGGACUAUUCUAACUCCUGAUUGAUAUUUGGACGUUUUGGAACCCUUUACACUUUUACCCACACUUACCUAUACACCCACACACACACACAAUUCACAGACGAGUACAUAGCUGGUGUUUUAAAUAGAGGAAAAUAAACCUUGGAAAAUUUUUCCUUUAGCGUUCCUAUAAUUACUGAGCUUAGACAAUGAUCGAUUUCACUCUUGAACUUGAAAAAUCAAACUAAUGUGUGUACAAAUUUGUUGUGAUGAUUUUGAUAAGAGCAAUAUUAUGAUCGCCGAAUUAACUGAUCGAAGGCAAAUAAGACCAAAUUCUGAGCCUCAAAUAGAUAGUACCAUUUUUGCUGGGGCUUUAUCAUACAGGUUUUCUUCUAGUUUGUACCGCCACCCAAAAAAUGUUUUAGGUAAAUGAACCUCCAGACCGGCUGAGGGACUAGAGAAGGUCCCUACCUAGUCCCGCGAUUGGCAGUUUGGCUGGCCCCUCAAAUUUGAUUUUGCCUAAAUCAUACAAGAUAAACUAGCCCUUCUCAAGAAGCCCUUCCCUCAAAACAACAGAAACGGCAUUGGAAAAAGGAGUUGGAAUUAACCAGUAUGUGCUCUUUCAUAGUAAGACAAUCCUCAUCUUCUGAUCUCUCAAUAGUUGGAUAUUUAUUAUCUCAAGAAAGUCGUCAAAGUAUCAGAAAAAGAAAGAAGUAUGUUAAUGAGGCAUUAUAAUGAUAUUAUGUAGAAAUUUAAGUCUUGUAAAAGUUUGGAAACAAAGAAAAUGAAAAAUACAUACUUUACAAAUAGGUCUUAGAAGAUUGAAAAAUAAAAUAAUAUCAAUGCAUCAGUUAAUUGAUUACUUAAAAGAAAAAUCUUUGAUAAGUGUAUCAACUGAAUUCAGGCUUCCUUAGCUGAACCAGUACAAAGUAUUUUUGAAAGAAUGUUAAAAGGGCCUGCCACACAAAAAUCCAAUCUUCUGCUACUAUCCUUUGCUUUAACAUUGUCAUUUUAUUCGCCGAAAACAUAGAAUUUAUAAGGGAUACAUAAACUGGCCCAGAGUUUUCUUUAGGAGGCCUCUAAAUUCCAUUUAGUUUUCAACAAUAUUUUUGAUAUUUUUAACUCUCAAAAUGGAUUUACAAAAUAUUCAUAUAAAAAAAUUAUCAAAAAUAUAAGAACAACAUACUUUUUAAUAAUUUUGAAAUAAUUAAAUUGUAUAUUAUUGGACUUACUUUAAAAGAAAGGUCAACCAUAGUCACAAAGAAAAACGGGAUUUUUGGCUUUCUAAUUUGUAUGGAAAGCUUACAACUUGUAUGUAUAAAUACUAUGUAAAAGAAAAUCAUUUAUUAAAAUAUAUUUUGACUAACUGGUGGAGGUCCACGUAUACAAAAAGCAAAAACGGAAGAUAAUAAUAUAUUCAAUCAAUGUAAAAAUGAGAAGAGCAUUGUGGGAUUAAAAAACAUGAUGGUGAUAGAUUGUCUAAAACUAAUAGGAGUACUGGUAUUUCUCAAAACAAAACUGAUAGUUACAAAGAAACAGAAGAAAAGGGAAGAUAUUAAUUUACUAGACAAAAGGCUGUUCUUUUGUAAUAUGGAGAUGGGCAAAAUUCAAAGUAGUAGUAUUCAAAACAGAGAAGAACAUAAGCUAAAGAAAAAAAGGGUUGUUAGACAUUGAAAUAAAAAAAGAACAGUAAAGUUCUCAAAGAGAACUUACUUAAUAAUUUUAAUUAGUGUUUAUAUUGUAAUGUAAAAAAUGUAAUGUAUGUUAUUUCUGAAUAAAAGACAUUUAAUAAUGAUA